rnacentral:rRNA from 1 species
AGGUCAUGCGGGACUACCCGCUGAGUUUAAGCAU